rnacentral:rRNA from 1 species
AUGAACCGCGGCGAACCCUCAGACGACCCUUCUAAGAUAAGGGGGGAGAUCCUCAGUAGUGGUGACCCUUUGACUCUUCCACUGACUUAUAUAUGUACCGAAUGCUCAUACGGGAAAGUGAACUCCUGGGUCUAGAACCUGGGGGGGUUGCUCCAAUAAAAAAUCCUUUCUUUCUCGUCCACUCUAGGGGGUGCGGACACACCUGCGCGGAUUACAGGUGACGGUUACAAGAAUGGCGCAAGUGAAGAUUUGGUUCUAGUGCCCCCACCCUUUUCGAGAUCUGUCAGGAUUAGCAAGACGUUCUGGUGUAAACUAUAG